rnacentral:rRNA from 1 species
UACGAAGGGGGCUAGCGUUGCUCGGAAUUACUGGGCGUAAAGCGCGCGUAGGCGGCUUUGUAAGUUAGAGGUGAAAGCCCGGAGCUCAACUCCGGAACUGCCUUUAAGACUGCAUCGCUAGAAUUGUGGAGAGGUGAGUGGAAUUCCGAGUGUAGAGGUGAAAUUCGUAGAUAUUCGGAAGAACACCAGUGGCGAAGGCGACUCACUGGACACAUAUUGACGCUGAGGUGCGAAAGCGUGGGGAGCAAACAGG